rnacentral:lncRNA from 1 species
AUCUAUGGUGCACGGACACGGAUACGUGGACACGGCGAUACGCGGAUACGGACACGGUGAUACGGCAUUUCCAAAAAACUAGGAUACGGACACGUGGGGGAUACGCGUAAAUAUAAAAAUAUAGGGGUAUAUUUAUAAAUAAUAAAAAUAUAGGGGUACAUUUAUAAAUUGUAAAAAAUAUGUAUAAGUCGUCAUCGCAUAAGAGAACCACUCGCCCUUGUUGCUCGUGUUCUUGAUCGCCGUCGCAUGCUAG